rnacentral:rRNA from 1 species
UACGAAGGGGGCUAGCGUUGCUCGGAAUCACUGGGCGUAAAGGGUGCGUAGGCGGGUCUUUAAGUCAGGGGUGAAAUCCUGGAGCUCAACUCCAGAACUGCCUUUGAUACUGGCGAUCUCGAGUCCGGGAGAGGUGAGUGGAACUCCGAGUGUAGAGGUGAAAUUCGUAGAUAUUCGGAAGAACACCAGUGGCGAAGGCGGCUCACUGGCCCGGUACUGACGCUGAGGUGCGAAAGCGUGGGGAGCAAACAGG